CAGUCGCCGCGGUAAAACGAAGGGGGCUAGCGUUGUUCGGAAUUACUGGGCGUAAAGCGCACGUAGGCGGAUAUUUAAGUCAGGGGUGAAAUCCCAGAGCUCAACUCUGGAACUGCCUUUGAUACUGGGUAUCUUGAGUAUGGAAGAGGUGAGUGGAAUUCCGAGUGUAGAGGUGAAAUUCGUAGAUAUUCGGAGGAACACCAGUGGCGAAGGCGGCUCACUGGUCCAUUACUGACGCUGAGGUGCGAAAGCGUGGGGAGCAAACAGGAUUAGAUACCCGAGUAGUCCCUGUCUCUUAUAC
rnacentral:rRNA from 1 species